rnacentral:rRNA from 1 species
AACGAACGCUGGCGGCAUGCCUAACACAUGCAAGUCGAACGAGACCUUCGGGUCUAGUGGCGCACGUGUGCGUAACGCGUGGGAACCUGCCCUUAGGUUCGGAAUAACGCCCCGAAAGGGGUGCUAAUACCGGAUAAUGUCAUCCGACCAAAGAUUUAUCGCCUUUGGAUGGGCCCGCGUUUGAUUAGCUGGUUGGUAGGGUAAAAGCCUACCAAGGCGACGAUCCAGAGCUGGUCUGCGAGGAUGAUCAGCCGCACUGGGACUGAGACCCGGCCCAGACCGGUACGGAAGAGUGCAGUAGGUAAUAUUGGAGGCUGGGGGAUGGUGCGACGCAGCAACGUGGGGUGAGUGAUGAAGCGGUUAGGGUUGUAAAGCCGUUAUACACGGGAUGAUAAUGACAGUACCGGGAGAAUAAGCUCCGGCUAACUCCGUA